UUAAGUCAAGAAAAAGAAGCAAAUGAUCUAGAAGCAUAUUUAUUAAAUGUAUCAAUCUCAUUGGGCAUCCACUCUUCAUGAUUAAAAAAAAUAAAAAAACUCACUAUAGUGCAUAAACAAGAUGGUAUUAAUGGUAAACCUAUUUUGUUUCUUCACAUUCCUAAAAAAGUAGAACAUAGAACUUGCCUCUGAACUGAAUCGCUUUAACACCUCUCUUCAAUGCCAAUCACUCAUUAGUCAUUUCAAUAAUUGGACAUUGAGCCUUAGGUUAGAAAAUAGCAAAAGAGGAAUAACAGUAGAAAUUUGGGGAAUAUACAAAAUAUAUCCAUUUCCUCCAGCCAAUUGAAAAACAUUUAAAUUUGAGCAGAAACUAAUAUCACACGAAUUGAAAUUCAAAUCAUAACUAGUAGAAUUGAAGAUUUUCCAACAAAAAUAAGAAAGUUAACGAAAACAAUUACCACUACAUAGAUCAUAUAUUAGAAGUGAAUGUUUAAAUAGGAUACAGCACCAUCAUCAUGGACAACCUGCAUUAGACAGAAGGAAUGUUCAUGUUCACUCACAAAACAUAACAAGUGAGGUAACAAAUAAAAUAUUCUUAACUUGAAGCAGUUUGUGUUUAUAAUUAAGAGGGACUGAAAAACUUGCCUGGACUAUAACAGAAGUGGUGGUGUUGGGAUAUAUGGUACGAAUGCAGAUGCUUUCCAAGGUUUUCUUCAAUAUCAUUUCAUACUCCCUCUCGGCUUGACCAACGUGCCCUGUACUUUGCAGAUGCUUUCCAAGGUUUUCUUCAAUAUCAUUUCAUACUCCCUCUCGGCUUGACCAACGUGCCCUGUACUAGGCUUCCAAAUAACUUCAAUGGAAGCUUUUUCGGGAUUUUCGUUCUUCUUGGCCCCGGCUUUAGGUCCGUAAACUGCGGCAAGGAGUUUGGUUUCGCCUUGAGCCCAUGUGGCUGAGCCAUGGGCUCGGUGGAGGACGGAAUGAGAGCAAGCUAGGGGCCUCAGUUGAUUGGGUGUCCUUCCGUCAGGUCUGUCGAUCUCCAUAAAAUUGAUAAAAAUAAAACCACUCUUCCUUCUAAACUCACUCAACUGAGCACAAGAAAAAAC
rnacentral:lncRNA from 1 species